GUAGGGUGCGAGCGUUAAUCGGAAUUACUGGGCGUAAAGCGUGCGCAGGCGGCGCCGCAAGUCAGGCGUGAAAUCCCCGGGCUUAACUUGGGAAUGGCGCUUGAAACUACGGUGCUUGAGUGUGGCAGAGGGAGGUGGAAUUCCACGUGUAGCGGUGAAAUGCGUAGAGAUGUGGAGGAACACCGAUGGCGAAGGCAGCCUCCUGGGCCAACACUGACGCUCAUGCACGAAAGCGUGGGGAGCAAACAGGAUUAGAUACCCUGGUAGUCCACGCCCUAAACGAUGAUGACUAGUUGUUGGGGGAGUUAAAUCCCUUAGUAACGCAGCUAACGCGUGAAGUCAUCCGCCUGGGGAGUACGGUCGCAAGAUUAAA
rnacentral:rRNA from 1 species